rfam:Papilio xuthus contig17252, whole genome shotgun sequence.
GCAUCGGUGGCUUAGGAGUGAAGCACUUGACUUGCAAUCUGCAGGUCCUGGGUUCGAAUCCCGUCCCAAUGUG